AUCUUACUUCCUCCGUCCAACAAAGGAUGUUUCAACUUUGACUAAAUUUGAAUGCAUCUAUACACUACGUCAUGUCUAAAUAUAUUCAGAUUUUGACAAACUUGAGACAUUUUUUAUUGGAUGGAGGAAGUAUGAA
rfam:Brachypodium distachyon strain Bd21 chromosome 3, whole genome shotgun sequence.